UACGGAGGGGGCUAGCGUUGUUCGGAAAUACUGGGCGUAAAGCGCACGUAGGCGGCGCAGCAAGUCAGGGGUGAAAUCCCGGGGCUCAACCCCGGAACUGCCUCUGAAACUGCAGUGCUAGAAUCUUGGAGAGGCGAGUGGAAUUCCGAGUGUAGAGGUGAAAUUCGUAGAUAUUCGGAAGAACACCAGUGGCGAAGGCGACUCGCUGGACAAGUAUUGACGCUGAGGUGCGAAAGCGUGGGGAGCAAACGGG
rnacentral:rRNA from 1 species